UCCGGCCGAUGAAAUAUGGCAGCUUACGCUACAGACUACCGCUAAGAUCGCGGCAAAUCACGUCCAUACUCUGCCCUCCGAUUCUGAUCGUAUGCUUAUCCAGUGUGAUCCGGAGAUUCUCCGUAAGUGAGGAAAAACACUGAAAUGCACCGUUUCACCCAGCCGAAUGAGGUGAAUCCUUCCUACAGACAGCGUAUGGCGAUGCAGCCCUGCACUAAUACCAUGGAGGAGAAGGUUCGACCACCAAUUCGAGAAGAAGAGGUGACCCAGUACUCCAUCUAUAGGCAGCUAUGGUGCAUGCUUGAGGGAAGAUGCAUGGCUCCCAGAGAUGGGAAUCAGCCAGGGUCUUACAGCCGCGGUUUCCAGGAUCGGCUAAGAGCCCCUGUGACCUGGCAUAGAAUCUAGCAGUUUGGUUUUGUGUUCAGAGUGCACGUCUUCCUGUGGAAAGAGGGCUGGUCUACUGUCCGUCUCAGAGGAGUGAUUCAGGUUGAUCUGACCCCCUGUUCCAUGCCCCUGCCCCUGAUGUUACUAUAUACUAGAAUAUUUUUAUUUUGUUGGUGACCUAAACGUUCGUGCUACAAAGAGUUUCUGUUUCUAUUCUGGAAAAAACAGCUAUUUUGCAUUUAUUUAUUCAGAUGGUUCUUGGUUGUCCAUCCUGCUUCAUUCCAGCCUGGAAAAGGGAAUCCCCAGAUGAAAGAAUCCAGGCUUUCCCAGCCCACAGUCCCCAUGACUGUUAAAAAAAAUAACUUCCAAACCAACAGGGAGUCGGAAAACAGAUUCAUUUUCUGUUGUUUGUCACGCAACUUAAAGAUAUUGUUAGCCAACCUUUCCCAGGGGUUUGUGCCAAAACACAAGCACAAAAAAUACUGCUAUUCAAAAUAGGAGAAAGAAUUCAAAUUGUCACAACAAGCACUGGUUAAUGGUCUGAAAGAAUUCAGCAGUUUUUUUUUUGCAGGAACAAAUAGGUCCUGAUCAGCUCCAGCUGAAUUAAACAUCACAUUAAACAGAGUUUGAGUUCUCUUCUGGAUUGACUGUUAUUCUUGGCAUCCAGACCUUGGAUAAAGUCCUUUGAAUACGUGUGAAAUUUACAACCACAUCUUCAGAAGAAGUGGGACAUGUUGAGGUCUGCCAUGGCCUUAGGGCCUGUGUGAAAUCUCUCCAUCUCUCACACAUACACAGUGAAAAUUAGGAUGGAAUGAAAAAACACAUUAGGAAAUUAAACCGUCAUUUUUUUUCUGCAUAGUUGUGAAUACUCAGAUUCCUUCUUCACGUGUAAUAAAAAUAUACAGUGAAUGAUAGAUGAUGUUUUUUUUUUUUGUUUGUUUACGAACAAUUCCUUAAUGUCUGCUCUUAACUUGCUUGUCAGUCGGCAUGAGACAGCGAGAACUGCACAAACGGAAAUAAUCCUAUAACGGCUUUUCUCACAAGACACAAAAGCCCACCACUGCUGAAGACCACCGUUUGUUCCUCAAUAUAAUUCAUGCACUAACUGGGAACUAAACAAACAAAAAAGGGGAGAAAUGGUGAAAGGUGUGUCCUCGUGAUUCACACACCUUCUGUAAUGUUCUCAUACACAGUCUGGAACUUGCCAGUCAGACUUCCUUGCCAAUUUUUGACGUGUUUGCUUGCAAUGCUUAUGAUAAACAUUUUUCUCCACUUUGCUGAAGUUAAUUUAGAAAUGUGUGUUUAAUCCAGUGCAUUUAGGGGGAAAAAAAAAGCGUGAGAUUGAUGGCGCUAAAAGCAUAACUACAGGUGAUGUUCUCGAUGAAGUGCUUAAAAACAACACGCUUUCAGUCGGGGUAUGGAGCGAAGCACAUCAUUCCCAUCCUUGAUGACAUCAUUUACGUUUCCAGCACAUGGCUGGGGGGGGGGGUGGGGGGGAUGGUUCGGGAAACGAUUUCAGGCUCCGCCGUGCUCGAUGUCAUUACCGGGACUUCCAACAUUUACGAGUGGCGCUGUGCCAGCAGGCCGCUUUUCCUCUGUUGGCCGUUGGUUACCUGCUCCCCCCGGACCUGGGGGGGCCACACGUGCCACCU